rnacentral:tRNA from 1 species
GGAGCGGUAGUUCAGGCGGUUAGAAUACCUGCCUGUCACGCAGGGGGGCGCGGGUUCGAGUCCCGUCCGUUCCGCCA